ACCAAUGCUAUGGACUUAUAUAGGCCACGAACGGGUGCUUCAUGAAGUAACUAUUCACGAAAGGGUGUUUCGUGAAGUGACCUUUCGAUUGUGACUUUUCAUUUGAUCAUAACUACCAAAUAGUUAUAUGAAUCAAGUUCAAUGAAUAUAACCAUUGAUUCCAACGGGCAUAUGUACGAAGAGACACACUAUAAAGAUGUGUCUUUUCAUAUCAUAUUCUUUCACUAAAAGUCACAUCCUUUCACUUUAAGAGUCAUACCCUUUGAUUAGAGUUGCAUCCACUCACUAAGGGUUGCAUCCAUUCACUAAGAGUUGCAUCCAUUCACUAAGGAUUGCAUCCUUUCACGAAGAAUCACAUCCAUUCACUAAAAACAAUAAACAAAAUAUAUUAUUUUAAAAUUUUCCUUACAAUAGAAGUAAUAACAAUUAAUUCCUAAAAUAUAAACAUGGUUUAUA
rnacentral:lncRNA from 1 species